CACAUUAAUGUUAAAUAACUUGUGUAUAUAUCAAGAUAAACUAUGAUUGUUCGUACAAUGGAAUUUGCAAUAAUUAAUGACCUGUCAUAUUUUUCACAUACUAGAUGUCUAGAUAUCAAUUCAACGUGUAAUGCGAUAAUAUACAUUUAGACCUUUUUUCUCGUGGCUUUCCAAGCUAACAAGGUUAAAACAUUACCUAUAUAGACGAUCAGCUAGCUGGAGCGAUCGCCCUUUUCACUCAACCGAAUCUACAGUCGCAAGGAAGAAUAUUUUUAACAUGAGUUUUUUUAAUAAUAUCCAUAAUAAUAUAUAGAGGUCAGUGUAUCAACCACUAGCCUGACUAGAAAAUAUAUUAUACGAUGGUAUAGUCCAAAGCAAUCCAGUUGCUUUCAAAUGCAUGAUCGUAUCUCACAGAAAAUUGUUGAUUGUAUGUUUUUGAAAAAACUGGCUUGAUAGACCAGCCAGGAUCUACCAAAAAGGUUAGCCAAACUACUUUUAGUUGAAAAGAAGCCAAAUAAUUAUCUUAGUUUAUCAGCUGAACAAAUGGCUGAAUAGAGAGAGCGUUUGCACUCAUUCCCCAGGGACCAACUCAACAAAAGCCAUGGCGGCCAUCUUGGUGUUCCAGACAAGAGUCUAAUUAAAAUUCUUUUGAAUUGGAACACCAGCAUGGCGGCUGUGACAUCAUGUGCAAAUGCUCUAUAUUGGAUAGAAUCACAACAAAUCAUUUGACGAUUGCAGAUAACUCUGACUUAAA